rnacentral:tRNA from 1 species
UCCUCGGUAGUAUAGUGGUGAGUAUUCCCGCCUGUCACGUGGGCGACCCGGGUUCGAUUCCCGGCCGGGGAG